rnacentral:rRNA from 7 species
CGGGAGGGCGCUUACCACUUUGUGAUUCAUGACUGGGGUGAAGUCGUAACAAGGUAACCGUAGGGGAACCUGCGGUUGGAUCACCUCCUUACCUUAAAGAA